rnacentral:rRNA from 1 species
GACGAACGCUGGCGGCGUGCCUAAUACAUGCAAGUCGAGCGGAAUGAUGAAGAAGCUUGCUUCUUCUGAUUUUAGCGGCGGACGGGUGAGUAACACGUGGGCAACCUACCUUGUAGAUUGGGAUAACUCCGGGAAACCGGGGCUAAUACCGAAUAAUCCAUUUCGCUUCAUGGCGGAAUGUUAUAAGGCGGCGCAAGCUGUCCCUGCAAGAUGGGCCCGCGGCGCAUUAGCUAGUUGGUAGGGUAACGGCCUACCAAGGCGACGAUGCGUAGCCGACCUGAGAGGGUGAUCGGCCACACUGGGACUGAGACACGGCCCAGACUCCUACGGGAGGCAGCAGUAGGGAAUCUUCCACAAUGGACGAAAGUCUGAUGGAGCAACGCCGCGUGAGUGAAGAAGGUUUUCGGAUCGUAAAACUCUGUUGUAAGGGAAGAACACGUACGAGAGUAACUGCUCGUACCUUGACGGUACCUUAUUAGAAAGCCACGGCUAACUACGUGCCAGCCGCCGCCGUAACAC